UACGUAGGGGGCUAGCGUUGUCCGGAAUCAUUGGGCGUAAAGCGCGUGUAGGCGGUCCGGUAAGUCCGCUGUGAAAGUCGAGGGCUCAACCCUCGAAUGCCGGUGGAUACUGUCGGGCUUGAGUACGGGAGAGGCGAGUGGAAUUCCUGGUGUAGCGGUGAAAUGCGCAGAUAUCAGGAGGAACACCGAUGGCGAAGGCAGGUCUCUGGGCCACUACUGACGCUGAGAAGCGAAAGCGUGGGGAGCGAACAGG
rnacentral:rRNA from 1 species